AUUUAUAUAGCUUAUAAUUUAGAGCAUAAUAUUGAAGAUAUUAAGGAAAAUUUUUAUUUUAUAAAUA
rnacentral:tRNA from 1 species